AGUUCGAUCAUGGCUCAGAUUGGAACGCUGGCGGGAUGCUUUACAGCAUGCAAGUCGAACGGCACGGACAUCGGUCUGGUGGCGAGUGGCGAACGGGUGAGUAACAAAAUGGAACGUGCAUAGUAGCGGGGAUAACUACGCGAAAGCGUAGCUAAUACCGCAUACGCCCUUCGGGGGAAAGCGGGGACCUUCGGGCCUCGCACUAUUAGGAGCGGCCGAUAUCGAUUAGCUAGUUGGUGGGGUAACGGCUCACCGCUAUGACGAUCCGUAGCUGGUUUGAGAGGACGACCAGCCACACUGGGACUGAGACACGGGCCCAGACUCUACGGACGCAGCAGUGGGGAAUUCUGACAAUGGGGGAACCCCUGAUCCAGCCAUCCCGCGUGUGCGAUGAAGGCCUUCGGGUUGUAAAGCACUUGCGAAAAGAAACGGCACGGGAUAAUACCCCCGUGCAACUGACGGUACCUGCAGAAUAGCACCGGCUAACUACGUGCCAGCAGUCGCGGUAAUACGUAGGGUGCAAGCGUUAAUCGGAAUUACUGGGCGUAAAGCGUGCGCAGGCGGUUCGGAAAGAAAGAUGUGAAAUCCCAGAGCUUAACUUUGGAAACUGCAUUUUUAACUACCGAGCUAGAGUGUGUCAGAGGGAGGUGGAAUUCCGCGUGUAGCAGUGAAAUGCGUAGAUAUGCGGAGGAACACCGAUGGCGAAGGCAGCCUCCUGGGAUAACACUGACGCUCAUGCACGAAAGCGUGGGGGAGCAAACAGGAUUAGAUACCCUGGUGCAGUCCACGCCCUAAACGAUGUCAACUAGCUGUUGGGGCCUUCGGGCCUUCGGUAGCGCAGCUAACGCGUGAAGUUGACCGCCUGGGGAGUACGGUCGCAAGAUUAAAAACUCAAAGGAAUUGGACGGGGACCUCGCACAAGCGGUGGAUGAUGUGGAUUAAUUGAUGCAACGCGAAAAACCUUACCUACCCUUGACAUGUCUGUAAAUCCCGAAGAGAUUUGGGAGUGCUCGUAAGAGAACCGGAACACAGGUGCUGUACGGCUGUCGUCAGCUCGUGUCGUGAGAUGUUGGGUUAAGUCCUGCAACGAGCGGCAACCCUUGUCAUUAGUUGCUACGAAAGGGCACUCUAAUGAGACUGCCGGUGACAAACCGGAGGAAGGUGGGGAUGACGUCAAGUCCUCAUACCUUAAGGGUAGGGCUUCACACGUCAUACAAUGGUCGGGACAGAGGGUCGCUAACCCGCGAGGGGAGCCAAUCCCAGAAACCCGAUCGUAGUCCGGAUCGCAGUCUGCAACUCGACUGCGUGAAGUCGGAAUCGCUAGUAACGUGAUCAGCAUGUCGCGGUGAAUACGUUCCCGGGUCUGUACACACCGCCCGUCACACCAUGGGAAAGUGGGUUUUACCAGAAGUAGUUAGCCUAACCGCAAGGAGGGCGAUUACCACGGUAGGAUCAUGACUGGGGUGAAGUCGUAACAAGGUAG
rnacentral:rRNA from 1 species